AGAGUUUGAUCCUGGCUCAGGAUGAACGCUGGUGGCGUGCCUAACACAUGCAAGUCGAGCGAGAAAUUUAUAUUGGAAACUUCGGUUGAAGAUAUAAAUGGAAAGCGGCGGACGGGUGAGUAACGCGUGGGUAACCUGCCCUAUACAAGGGGAUAACAACGAGAAAUCGUUGCUAAUACCGUAUAAGCACACAACAUCGCAUGAUGAAGUGUGAAAAACUCCGGUGGUAUAGGAUGGACCCGCGUCUGAUUAGCUAGUUGGUGAGGUAAAGGCUUACCAAGGCGACGAUCAGUAGCCGACCUGAGAGGGUGAUCGGCCACAUUGGGACUGAGACACGGCCCAAACUCCUACGGGAGGCAGCAGUGGGGAAUAUUGCACAAUGGGGGAAACCCUGAUGCAGCAACGCCGCGUGAAGGAAGAAGGUUCUCGGAUUGUAAACUUCUAUCAGUAGGGAAGAAAAUGACGGUACCUAACUAAGAAGCCCCGGCUAACUACGUGCCAGCAGCCGCGGUAAUACGUAGGGGGCAAGCGUUAUCCGGAAUUACUGGGUGUAAAGGGUGCGUAGGCGGCAACACAAGUCAGAUGUGAAAGCCCGAUGCUCAACAUCGGGACUGCAUUUGAAACUGUGUAGCUAGAGUGCAGGAGAGGUAAGUGGAAUUCCUAGUGUAGCGGUGAAAUGCGUAGAUAUUAGGAAGAACACCAGUGGCGAAGGCGGCUUACUGGACUGUAACUGACGCUGAGGCACGAAAGCGUGGGGAGCGAACAGGAUUAGAUACCCUGGUAGUCCACGCCGUAAACGAUGAGUGCUAGGUGUCGGGGGUCGACAGGCCUUUGGUGCCGACGCAAACGCAUUAAGCACUCCACCUGGGGAGUACGAUCGCAAGAUUGAAACUCAAAGGAAUUGACGGGGGCCCGCACAAGCGGUGGAGCAUGUGGUUUAAUUCGAAGCAACGCGAAGAACCUUACCAAGUCUUGACAUCCCAUUGACCGCUUCGUAAUGGAAGCUUCCUCUUCGGAGGCAAUGGAGACAGGUGGUGCAUGGUUGUCGUCAGCUCGUGUCGUGAGAUGUUGGGUUAAGUCCCGCAACGAGCGCAACCCUUAUCUCUAGUAGCCAGCAAUACGGUUGGGGACUCUAGAGAGACUGCCGGGGAUAACUCGGAGGAAGGUGGGGAUGACGUCAAAUCAUCAUGCCCCUUAUGACUUGGGCUACACACGUGCUACAAUGGUGGUGACAAAGGGAAGCGAAAGAGUGAUCUUAAGCAAACCUCAAAAAAAGCCAUCUCAGUUCGGAUUGUAGUCUGCAACUCGACUACAUGAAGCUGGAAUCGCUAGUAAUCGCGAAUCAGAAUGUCGCGGUGAAUACGUUCCCGGGCCUUGUACACACCGCCCGUCACACCACGGGAGUCGGAAGCGCCCGAAGCCAGUGACUAAACCCGUAAGGGAUAGAGCUGUCGAAGGUGAAGUCGAUGACUGGGGUGAAGUCGGAACAAGGUA
rnacentral:rRNA from 1 species